rnacentral:tRNA from 1 species
AGGGAUAUAGCUCAGUGGUAGAGCGCUUGCCUAGUAUGCAAAAGUCCCUGGGUUCCAUCUCAGCAUUGCAA